GGCUGUUCUGAAGGUAGUGAGUUAUCUCAAUUGACUGUUCACCAUGAGUUACAGGUUCUACUCCUUCUCCUCACCCUUCUCACUACUGACUGCACUUGACUAGUCUUUU
ensembl:misc_RNA Y_RNA Y RNA